rnacentral:rRNA from 1 species
UACGUAGGGGGGCAAGCGUUGUCCGGAUUUAUUGGGCGUAAAGAGCGUGUAGGCGGCCAGACAGGUCCGUUGUGAAAACUCGAGGCUCAACCUCGAGACGUCGAUGGAAACCGUCGGGCUAGAGUCCGGAAGAGGAGAGUGGAAUUCCCGGUGUAGCGGUGAAAUGCGCAGAUAUCGGGAGGAACACCUAUGGCGAAGGCAGCUCGCUGGGACGUUACUGACGCUGAGACGCGAAAGCGUGGGGAGCAAACAGG